rnacentral:tmRNA from 3 species
GGGGGCGAUCGGUUUCGACGGGCUCGGUCGAGAUCCCCCGGCAGCAUGCCGAGGCCCCGCAGCCUCGUUAAAAUGCGGGACUGUACAACUGCCGCCUAACAUCGGCACCUCGCGGUUCCAUGAGUGAGCCGCGCGUCCGCCCCGGUGCUGUCUGUCCGCCGGGGGCCGGGCGUAAGAAGGCGGGCUGGCCGAAGUCCCCCCGCUCCCGGGAGAUAACGGCGAGACACAAUGGGAGAUACCGGAGGGAGGGCCGUCCGGAGCCCGACCCGAGGGAAACUUAAUCCGGUCUAAGCAUGUAGCGGCCGUCGGAUCCCUGGGCGCGGACGCGGGUUCGAUUCCCGCCGCCUCCACCA